rnacentral:rRNA from 1 species
UACGUAGGGUGCGAGCGUUAAUCGGAAUUACUGGGCGUAAAGCGUGCGCAGGCGGUUUUGUAAGCCAGAUGUGAAAUCCCCGGGCUCAACCUGGGAAUUGCAUUUGUGACUGCACGGCUAGAGUGUGUCAGAGGGGGGUAGAAUUCCGCGUGUAGCAGUGAAAUGCGUAGAUAUGCGGAGGAACACCGAUGGCGAAGGCAAUCCCCUGGGCCUGCACUGACGCUCAUGCACGAAAGCGUGGGGAGCAAACAGG